AGCGAACGCUGGCGGCAGGCCUAACACAUGCAAGUCGAACGAACUCUUCGGAGUUAGUGGCGGACGGGUGAGUAACACGUGGGAACGUGCCUUUAGGUUCGGAAUAACACAGGGAAACUUGAGCUAAUACCGGAUGUGCCCUUCGGGGGAAAGAUUUAUCGCCUUUAGAGCGGCCCGCGUCUGAUUAGCUAGUUGGUGAGGUAAAGGCUCACCAAGGCGACGAUCAGUAGCUGGUCUGAGAGGAUGAUCAGCCACAUUGGGACUGAGACACGGCCCAAACUCCUACGGGAGGCAGCAGUGGGGAAUCUUGCGCAAUGGGCGAAAGCCUGACGCAGCCAUGCCGCGUGAAUGAUGAAGGUCUUAGGAUUGUAAAAUUCUUUCACCGGGGACGAUAAUGACGGUACCCGGAGAAGAAGCCCCGGCUAACUUCGUG
rnacentral:rRNA from 1 species